rnacentral:lncRNA from 1 species
UUUUCAUUGUAACCCAGGAUACCUUUGAAUUUCUUAGGUAGCUGAGGCUGACUUUGAACUCCUGCUUGCCUCUGCCUUCCAAACGCUGGCAUCAAAGGUAUGUUACCAUAACCAGCUCAAAACUGUUGCUCUUGCAGAGGACCAUAGUUCAGUUCCCAGCACCUAGACUGGAUGGCUACAAGUUUAGCUUUAGGGAUGUAUUCUUCUUGCCUCCUUGGGUGUGCCCACAUGCAUACACAUGCACGCAUGGAUAGUGAGACUACAGAAGGCAACAGACCUUGAUCUCCUACCUCUACACAUAGGCAAAGCAAGCAUACUGGCACCACCACACGCGCGCGCACACACACACACACACACACACACACACACACACACACACACACAUGAACCUAAACGUAGCUGGACAUUGUUCCUAAAGAGCAGACCCAGUUCACACACAGCUACAUUUGCCGUUGCUGCUCCUAGGGUCAGGACAGAUGAACACAUUUGCUCCCGUAACCAGCUAUCAGAUCCCCUAACGAAUUCUGUCCUGCUUCUUUCUAGGGUCUCCUGGCCUCAUAGGGCACUAUGAAAGGAAGCAGGUGUAGCCCACUGUGUCACACUAAUGCAUUGAGCCUGUGUGUUGGAGCCUUCUGGACUUAGCCCAUUUCCUAGAAAACUUCCUUGAUGUCUCCAGUGCUCCGUGGCACCUACGUGGAUGCCCCAGCAGCCACCUUGAUGACAUCUCUCCCAAGGGUACCCAGGAUGGGCUGUAUGGGUGUGGAACUGGUUUUGGAAAUCACAAGGGAACAGAUUUCUUGUCAUAAACUCUCUAAGAGGGGGUGGGGGUUUACAGUAACUCCCUACUAGGCUGUGUGACAACCAGGGCUAUGUUUAACUGUACGGUGGGCUCUAGAUACACUUCUGUCGCUCACUUUCUGAUAUUCAAAAGGUGAGUGCUCCUCUAUGCCUCUGGUUAAUCAUAGAGGUAACACCCACAUUUUCAGUAUCUCAAGUGGUUCUGGGAUGUUUCUGAAUACAAAGUGCCCCCUAGGACAAAGCAGGUUAUUCCAGUCUUCCCCCACCCAGAGAACAAAGGGAGAGAUGGGUUCCACAGCCUGUGCUUUCCACAGCCAGGUUGUUCCUGGAAUCUGUGUCCUCUGGGGGCUGUGCCGAGGGCGCCUGUCUGCUGCCUUCUUCAUUUCUGACGGAUUAGGCCUC